UCAGUCUUUGAACGCAGCAAU
rnacentral:piRNA from 1 species